GCGUUCUGUCACUUGCUCUCCGUCCCCGUGCCGGUGGAAUCCUCUCUCCCUGAGGCUGUCAGCCGCCGCUUCUCCCUGCAAAGCGUUUCUUCCCUUCCUCUCCCUCUUCGUCUGUUCUCAAGACUUGGGUUCCGGAGAGUCUUCCAUUCCCCUGAGCCGGAGCAGCAGGAGCUUCAGAAGGAGCUGAAGGACAGGAUGAUGAAGGGAAUGAUAAUGAAUGGCAGCAACCAAAAGAGACACAUUCACUGUUAUGUCAUAACCAUUCCAGAGGGGAUCUGCAAAGGGGGACAUAAGACAAACAGAAAGCGGAAUCAAUACAGUAAUCAAUUAGAAACAAGAGAAAAUUUGCAGAUGCUGGAAAUCCAAGCAACACACACAGAAUGCUGGAGGAACUCAGCAAGCCAAGCAGCAACUAUGGGAAAGAGUACAGUCGACAUUUUGAGCUGAAACCCUCCAGAAGGACUCAAUUAGAGUCCUUUGCAUGUAUUGGUUUCUCUACCAUUAAUACCGAAGACUGCUUUAAGUGAAGAGGGGAAAAAACAUUAUUUUUCAUAAUUUCAGUUUGCCACUUCCAAUCUUCAUUAGCUAAACUGAUCCUAGGAAAGGGAUUGCAUUUAUAUAGGGCCUUUCACAGCAUCAAGUCAUUUGAAAGUGCCAACCGAAGUAUUCAUUGCUGUUUCAUUUUGCACAUACAAAUGCAGGGAAGGCUGCUUCAGUGUGAGUUAAAGGAGCCUAACUCUGGGGAGUUAUUUAGAUGGCAACCUAGCCAGCACCACUCCACCCUCAGAAAUACGCAGAACACAACUCCUAUCAUAAAUACAUAGUUGUGACCUUCACCUGGUCCACCAAUCCAAAAAUUGGACCUGACCAUCUUAUACUAACUGCCAAAUGUUCUCCUUCCUGAUAAAUAGGUGUCCAUUGAAUUAUGGCUGUUCGAGUUAUGGAAAUUUUCUCCUCUGGAAUUCACAAAUCACGACACCAAAAACUUGAGUUAUCAGAUAAAAUUUUCUCUCACAGAAUUUAUCUGAAAAAAGUAAAUAACUGAACUGAACACCCCCUUUUUUCAGCUCAUGUUCUUUGACACAGCAGAUGACAUGGCUCUGUGCUAUGGAAAAUCACAGUACAGCCUGUUAUCUAGGUGCAAAUGAUUGAAAUCAAAGUUAGAAGUAUUCCAGCAUAUUCCAUCAGAUUAUGUUAUAUACAGUCGAAUAGGGUCAUACAGUCAAGAACUUGGAAUGCACAGUGUGCUAAACUCCCUAAAACCUGAUUUUAGCAGAGAUGCUCAUAUAAUUUAAUAUUUCUGGCAUAAGUCAUGCAAAGUGAGGUUUACAGAACAGACAAUUUCCCAGCAUCAAGUCAGCAACUACUGAUACCAUCAUCCUUUACGUGUUUCUACCAAUACUGACUCUAAGGUGGAGUUCAAAGUGUGAUUUUGAAUUAUUCAUGUAUGUCUUUACAAAUAAAAAUGGUGUG